UUCCAUUAYUGGUUUGAAUUGCGAAUCCCCCGAACCUUCARUUUUUUAAACGCAAUUKGSCCCGGGGCCCCCCCGCCGGGGGCCAGCCCGCCUGGGGGGCCAGCCCUGGGGUGGUUCGCCUACCUUGCCCAUGAGCACCCCGUGCUCUUACGGCGGCGGGCGGCGGAUGCGGA
rnacentral:rRNA from 1 species